AAAUUGUUCUUGAGAUUGAAUCAAUAAUUGAAGAUGAAAGUUACAAAGUCUACAUUUAACAUAAGACACAACUACUUUUUUCAUUAGAAAUGUCUACCAUUUGAAUGAGCAAAAUCAUAUAAAAGUAGACUUUUUGGAAAUUCGUUCCCGAGAUUGUUCUUCAAAGUUGGAUCAAGUACUCUAAGAUGCAAAGUCUACUAUUAACAUGAGUUAGGUCUACUAAUAACAUGAGCUAACUGACAUGUAAAAGUAGACUUUCUGAAGGUUACUAUUUAUGGAAAUCAACUAUAAAAGGAAGGGUAAGUUUCCAUUUUAGGGGGAUAGUUAUGCUCUAAAAACGAAAGUUACUAUUUAUGGAAAUCAACUAUAAAAGGAAUGGUAAGUUUCUAUUUUGGGGGGAUAGUUAUGCUUUAAAAACGAAAGUUACUAUUUAUGGAAAUCUACUAUAAAAGGAAUGGUAAGUUUCCAUUUCGGGGGGAUUCCUUUUCUGAAAAUUCAACACUAAUUGUCACAUGUCGUGACCUCAUUCGACCUACGUCACUAAUCUGUCCAUGUCAUUAAAGUUUUUCUUUUUUUCCACAUUUCAAAACUUUAAAAAUGCAUAGAAAAUAGCUCUAGUGUCGGAAAAAUUCACCAAAAAAUGUCACUGACCACUGGUGAGACCCACUUCACAACUGCAUCUGAAUUUUAGUCAUCGGAAUCACAACGUACCUACUAAUGUGGUAUAACUUGUUUGGUAGGUUAUAUGCUAGUGUACAACUUUGUGAAUCAACUAUAUAGAGGAAGCAAAAUUUUCAAAAAUCUUGUGAAAUAGGAUGUUAUCGGUAUAGUAAAAUAUGACUACGCUAGAAAAAUCAUUUUAAUUCGCUUAUGUUUGGGCCCCGAUCGAAGCGGUCAACCCUAUUUACGUGUAUGCUUCACUAAGGAGAGCCCUAUCCUCGGGUGGUAAAUGUCCCCAAAGUUUUACAUGGGUGGUUAUGUCUCAUCUAUGUGCGACUUUAUUGUGUUGAAGAAUUCACCAAACUAGGUCACAAAGAGGCAGGUAAGAUAGUUUUCGUGUGAUAAGUGAAGAUGAAUUAGGGUUGACCGCUUUGAUCGAGCCCCGAACAUUGUUGAAUCCAGUUGAAUUUUAUACCAUAGUCAUGUUUCACUAUAAUGAUCACAUCAGACGGUCAAUUUUCAUUUUGUGAAUUUUAGUCAUCAGAAUCAUAACGUGCCUACUAAAGCAGUAUAAUCAGACGGUCAAUUUUCAUUUUGUGAAUUUUAGUCAUCAGAAUCAUAACGUGCCUACUAAAGCAGUAUAACUUGUUUGGUAGGUUAUAUGCUAGUGUACAACUUUGUGAACCAACUAUAUAGAGGAAGCAAAAUUUUCAAAAAUCUCGUGAAAUAGGAUGUGAUCAGUAUAGUAAAAUACGGCUACGAUAGAAAAAUUACAUUAAUUCACCCAUGUUUGGGCCCCGAUCGAAGCGGUCAACCCUAUUUACGUGUAUGCUUCACUAAGGAGAGCCCUAUCCUCGGGUGGUAAACGUCCCCAAAGUUUUACAUGGGUGGUUAUGUCUCAUCUAUGUGAGACUUUAUUGUAUUGAAGAAUCCACCAAACUAGGUCAUGAAGAGGUAGGUAAGAUAAUUUUUGUGUGGUAAGUGAAGAUGAAUUAGAGUUGACCGCUUUGAUCGAGCCCCGAACAUUAUUGAAUCCAGUUGAAUUUUAUACCAUAGUCAUGUUUCACUCUAAUGAUCACAUCAGACGGUCAAUUUUCAAUUUAUGAAUUUUAGUCAUCGGAAUCAUAACGUGCUUACUAAAAUAGUAUAACUUGUUUGGUAGGUUAUAUGCUAGUGUACAACUUUAUGAACCAACUACAUAGAGGAAGCAAAAUUUUCAAAAAUCUCAUGAAAUAUGAUGUCAUCGAUAUAGUAAAAUACAGCUACGGUAGGAAAAUCACUUUAAUUCGCCAAUGUUUGGGCCCCGAUCGAAGCGGUCAACCUUGUUUACGCUUAUGCUUCACUAAGGAGAGCCCUAUCCUCGGGUGGUAAACAUCCCCAAAGUUUUACAUGGGUGGUUAUGUCUCAUCUAUAUGACACUUUAUUGUGUUGAAGAAUCGACCAAACUAGGUCAUAAAGUGGUAGGUAAGAUAGUUUUCGUGUGAUAAGUGAAGAUGAAUUAAGGAUGACCGUUUUGAUCGAGCCCCAAACAUUGUUGAAUCUAGUUGAAUUUUAUACCAUAGCCAUGUUUCACUAUAAUGAUCACAUCAGACGGUCUAAUUUU
rnacentral:lncRNA from 1 species